rnacentral:lncRNA from 1 species
UGUUGUACAGCUUUGUAGCCUAGGAGCAAUAGGCUGUACCAUCUAGCCUAGGUGUGUAGCAGGCUGUACUAUGCAGGUUUGUUCACACGACGAUGAAAUCUAAUGAUGAAUUUCCCAGAAUGUAUCCCUGUUGUUAAGGGAUACAUUGUUAAGCGGUGUGUGACUAUAUGUAUAUAUAUAUAUAUAUAUAUAUGCACUAUAUAGAGAGACACACUAUUUUGUGUGUGUCUCUGUGAGUGUGUGUGUGUGUGUGUGUUUAUUCCUUCUCUCCAGUUCAGCCUUAGGAAAAGGGAAAGCUUGUGAACGUGUCCUCGGGAACUUGGUUUGCUGAAUUAACAGGUGAAGGUAACAUCUCAAGAGCUCAGUAGACCCUUCUGCCCAAAUGCAGUUGGCAGUCCUUGGUCAGGCUUCACCUGAGUGGAGGCCAGGGAUUAGAGCUACCAAGCAGAUUGCAGGUGGGAGGUUGUGGUUGACUUUUUGGAAGUCAUUAGUACAAAUGCUUUUAGUGCCUUUAGCCCCUGGGGUUUUACAAGGUCACCGCGUGAUUGGGAUAAGCACGGUAAACUCUACGACCAGAAGGUGUUUCCAUGCCACGUGAUUGGGAUAAGCACGGUAAACUCUAAGACCAGAAGGUGUUUCCAUGCCACGUGAUUGGGAUAAGCACGGUAAACUCUACAACCAGAAGGUGUUUCCAUGCCACGUGAUUGGGAUAAGCACGGUAAACUCUAAGACCAGAAGGUGUUUCCAUGCCACGUGAUUGGGAUAAGCACGGUAAACUCUAAGACCAGAAGGUGUUUCCAUGCCACGUGAUUGGGAUAAGCACGGUAAACUCUAAGACCAGAAGGUGUUUCCAUGCCACGUGAUUGGGAUAAGCACGGUAAACUCUACAACCAGAAGGUGUUUCCAUGUCACUGGGGCUGUGGAGUGUGGCCCUAGCACUGUCACUAAAAAUCCGAGGGCUGUGGGAGCUCUGGGAGCUUGGCUUAGCCAGAGCCACCUCCUCUUUCCCACUUGGAGGCUAGGGGCAAUCCUGCGCCUGACCCUGGGUUGUGCAAUGGAGUGAAGGGGACUUAGGGCGGUCAAGAGCCAGAGGCAUUGCCGAAUUCCUGGGUGGCUUGCAGUCAUCAUGAUACGCUGACCUGGUUGCAAUCAUUUUUAUGGUGAAUUAUUCAAUACAGCAAAGUAAUCUGGCCCUUAUCUCUGCCCAGUCAUUCUAUAAUGAAGAGGCACGGGGUGGAGCCCGGGGACACCCUCGGUGGCAUUGUCGGGCCACAUACCUUUCCCCUCACAUCCUGCGACAGCUGAAUCCGAGCCCGAGGACCACGUGCGGGGCGGUCUCCAGUGUGGAUGGCAGCCCGGCUGGAACGCACUGGCAGGUGGUCCCUGUGCCCCAGAGGCCCCGUUUCCUUCCGGAAGCGAGGCUGCAACUGCUCCAGAUACCCAGCAGGAAGGCCACGUGACAACGGGAGGGGCACUCCUGUGUGUGUAGGGGCGAGGGGGUGGCGGUGCCAGGGUCCUGCAGUUCACCAGGUGCCCACGUGCCUGCCACCCGAGCGCCAUUCACUCCCGACCGCGGGGACCUGGGGCACAGCCGGGCCCACUGCGGCGAGGCGAGGAGAUGUGGGGAGAGGAAGAGCGGCGUCCACGAUGUGCUCAUUUAGGCUUGAUUUUCCUCCUGCCCUCCUGUCUCCCUCCCUGGCUUCACCCACAAGGCUUUCUUCUCGGGCUGAUUUCUGUGGGAGCUCUCUAGGCAGAACCCUCAGUCUCUGAAAGUCGGGUUCGUCGUCCGGGUCUGCGCAGGGCAUGGAUCUUGAGCGCUUGGAAUGUGACUUAACUGAGAAACGCUACUUUAUUUUAAUAAGUUUACAUCUAAAAGCCGAUCAUUGAUUCCAUUAUUUGGAAAACAACUUCUAAGUGUGUUUGGAGCAACUCGGAUAUUGGAAUCUUUUAAACUGUAAAUUUUAUGAAAUCUAAAUAACGACCAAAUAUCUACAAGGAAAAUCUAGCAUCUGAAUCGAGUGUGCUGUCAGUGUAAAACACACACCAGAUUUCAAAGAUUUACUGCAGAAAAAAACACAUGAAAAUACUGGUUACAUGUGGAAAUGAUAGUAUUUUAGAUCUGUUGGAUUAUCUAAAAUUAAAUUUAAAUUAAUGUCACUGGUUUUUUUUUUUUUACCUUUUUCUAGUGUGGCUACCGGAAAGUUUAAAUUUCAUACGUGUCUCAUGUUAUAUUUUAUUACAUUUCUCUCGGCCUGUGUGCUCUAGAUGGUUGAUUUGGCUGGAUUGAGAUGAGGUGAUGGCCAUCCUAAAGGAGGGCCUGAGUUCCCUCUGCCGACCUAUGGCUCUCACUGCUAUGCCUCCCUGAUCAUUCAGCCAGUGGAUGUGGAAUUCAGGGAGAUGAGAGAUGCUCAUUUCCUGCUCCAGGAGUGCUCUCCCCAGUGGGGUGGGAGCAAGUCCAAGGAGUGAGUGCUUCGUGGGAACUCUGGCUUCCCGGCUGUCUUCAUGCCUGUGCGUGGCCAUGACACCUGGCAGGAUGCCAGAGCAGGGAGAGCAGAAGCAUCCUGUGUUCUAGCAGAGUACAGACCAUCAGAAAUGUUUCAAUUCCAAAGCUGGGCCAGGUACUGUCACCCACUGGAGCCAAAGUACCCUUGAACAGUUCACCUCUCUCAGGCUUAGGGUGAUUAUAGUGAAAAUUGGAUGCUUUUCUAAAUAAGGCAAACAAUGAUGGUACCUAUUUUAUAACCUUUACUGGACUGCCUCUUUUUGCCCCAGUCAGAAUGUGAAGUCUGGAUUUAGACAAAAGAUUAUUUGGACGGGUGAUAGUAUGUUUUGCAAAAAGAAUUCAAAAUAAGGUAACAGGCAACCAAGAGGGGCUGCCCACCUACUAGGUUUAAUACUCUCAGGAGUAAAGAGACAUAGGACCUGUUCCCUGUAUCAUGUCCCCUUGGUUGGGAACACCUCCCUCUUUUCCAUCCAUCUGUUCAAAUCUGAGCUAUUUGUUCAAGGUGCAGCUCCGAUCCCACCUCCUCCAGGGUCUUUAUUUAAUUCCUCUAGGCUUCCCAGCACCAUUAAGCAGCUUCGCGACCUGCAGCCACACAUGCCAUAGGCCUCCAUCCUCAGGAAAGUGAUUGAGUCUAUCAGCUUAUUUUCCUUUGGAGCCAGGUUCUAAGAAGUGGAUGCGAGUGACAUUAUUAUUCUGAUUAGUUACCUAUCCCCAUAACAGGGAGCUACAGAGUGCUUUGCAAAUAGUAAUGCUUUAACCUCGCCUCCAAAAAAAAAAAAAGAACAGCCUGAUGUGAAAAACAUUUAUAAUUUCUUGUAGUUACAGUGUGUAUCUUCAUUAUAAUCAUUCUUACAAUAAAUACAGAAGUGCUAAACAGACCAUUAUCACAGUGGCCUGUGGGCUGAGGCACAGGAACUGAGGGGUGCUGCAGACACCAGUGCUUCUCCAGGGCUGGCCAGGACACCUUCAGAGAGGCUAGUGAAGAGGAGAGGAAUGUAGGGUGAAUUUGAAAUGUGAUUAAUAGAGUCAAUGCAGCACAUGCUAGAAACAGAUACAGAGUUUUUUGUUGUUUUUUAACUAUUUUACCAGAUGAUACUAACUAAACAAACAGAACAAAGAAAGAGAUUCAAGAUCUCACAUGAGUGAGAAUCCAGGGCCUUCCCCUCUGGCCCUGGCCCCAGCCUGGGCCUUGUUUUUGCUAUUUCCACCUAGGCAUCUGCCAUGCAGCAGAGUUAGGAGCGUGUGGGCGGCUGCUGAGACUCACACACCACAGUACUGGCAUCCUUCAGGGGCAGCUGGCAUCAGUGGAAUGAGUGCGGAUCCGAAGAAAGGUUUCCCAGUUCCAAAGCUGGACCCACAGGAAUCCUGUGAGGAUUUGCAAAGACAUUGAUAGUGUUGGUUCUUGGAGCAUCUUUCUGCCUCCCGGGCUUUGUCUGGUCUCAGCCUCGGGGCUGCAAUCCAGGGCUGUGCUGAGCAGCAAGAGGAGAGGAGAAAUGCCACUGUCUUGCACCUCCCAGUAAGUCUCCCUUUUCAUGAACAGCCCUUGUGCCAGGUACAAUGGUCUCUCUGUUCUCUCACAAAACUCAUCCACAAAAGAUAUACAGAGUCUUUUGACAGACAGUCCCACUGCUCUGGAGUCCUUUAUGUUCAUUUCUGAUUGACAAUUUUGGACCAAGGCCAAGAGGCCCCCUAAUUCAUGUUGCUUCGUCAUGAGGGUUGUCCUUGUCAUCUGAUGAUGCAUGAGGCAUGCUAAUGGCAAGGCCGGGAUGCCACCCCAGGCUUCGAGGCUGUUAGAGGUCUUGAGUGCACACACACACACAAA